UUUCGCGGCAACAGGAAAUACAGUUGCGAUAUCGCAGCCGAUACUCUGCAAUGCACGAGGGCCAUCGUCGAGUUUGCCAAACCUUACUCGUUCUUGAUCAAUACUUCUGUCGUUAAUUCUUCAAGACUACGGGAAGCUGUUGAUAAGGAAUGGAUGGAGUGGUUGCGCAGGGAACCUGCGAAAAAUCUGCACCUAAUUCCUUCUGGAGUUGUCUAGCUAAUUCUUCGGAAGAAUGCUGAGACUGUACAUUGACAGAUUGCUUUGAAGAAAUUCAGUUUCAAUUUCUGGGAAAAUCAAUAUGAAUAUUGGCCAGAUUCACUAAAGGAAUUUAUCCGUACUUCAAGAUCUGCUGCAUUUCAACGUGAACAAGCAGACUUGCAGACGCCUUGGAUAAAGAAGAACCCGUUCCUUUUCUGGAACCUUGUUUGCAGUAUUCAAACCUCCUUGAUCUAGCCAAGCUAAAAAUUUCAUCUUUUUGGGCACUUAUUUCCUCCAAAGAACAUUUAAAGACUCAGAUUCCAGCCAUUAUCAACCAAAUUCCUGCAUUCCUGAAACAAUAAAGACUCAGAUUCAUUAAGAUGAAAAAAUGUCAGAAAUUUCUGAUAUCGGUCUCCUCCAAGGAUACAACAGAAAUAUCUCUUGAACAAGGACAGGAUUUAACAAAGGUACUAUCUUCCACAAUCUAAACCAGAAGUUUUGUAGACUGCAAGGAAGUAAAAGCAGUCAUUAGUACUGGUUUUCUAUAAAUAUUAUCCAGAAGUUGUAUCAACUUGCCUAUCUGUUGGGUUUCAAGGAAAGGCUUUGCGACGUCAAAAGAAAAGGGAGGCUACAAUAUCUCCUCGCAGUGUCAUGAACCUAAGCUCGAGGCAUCACAAUAAGGGACUUAUUUUCGCCUUAUUGGUCUCCGAAUUUUGAUCGUACAUACAAUCGCUAGGAAAGUUGUUGCGGCAUAAGAUUUAUUAGGAGAAAAGGUGUAACGACCUAGAUCCACCGCUAGCAGAUAUUGUCCUCUUUGGGCUUUUCUUUUCGGACUUCCCCACAAGACUUUA